UCCGGGUUUUACGAUAAUGGUUGGUUUGUUCUUAGGCGUUUUUGAGCGAUCGGGGGUUGCUGCUGUAGCCGUAAAUAAAAGAGAUUUGCGAGGAUUUUUGGAAAUCUUAUUGUGUUUUCUUGUAAUCGAAUUUUUUUAAAAAAUAUCGAGUACAAGGAUUGAUAUUAAAAAAUGUGGGAGUAUACGAGUAUACGUAUACGUACCCACUCCCCCCCCCCUUUUUAGAGAGGGAGAUAGAUGAACUCGUCUUUCGACGAGCUGCCUACUUACCCCCUUCGGAAGAUCAAACCAUCUCGUAGUUCAGUUUGUGCCGCGAGUGUUUUUACCCGUUUGUUGCGGCGGUGUCGAUCACCUUAGUCGCGAUGACUGUGGCUGGGUCGAUAUCUUCUUCCGCGUUUGUCUCCUCUGGUUGGGUUGUAGUGUUUGGCUCGUAAGCCUCCUCGCUGUCCAC
rnacentral:lncRNA from 1 species